rnacentral:lncRNA from 10 species
UCAGAGAAGUGAAAUUCUCUUCUCAAAGGUGUUGAGAACUGGCCCCGGCAGCCUCCCAAGCUUUAGUAAAAGAAGCAUGAAAUGGCUGUCAGAGAUGAAAUGCCUAUAAAAAUUUGUUAAACUGCAAAGACAGGAACUAUAUCUUUUUAGCUUUUACUCCAUAGCAUUGAACACAAAAAUACUUCUGGGCUGGGACCUUGAGCAGGGUAGCACGGGAGUGAAUUUGAUCCAGGCUACAGAAGGAUUUUGCUGGCUUUCUAAACUAUUGGGUAAAGAAAGCAGGUACAACCCAAGUCACCAGAGCUCAUAAAAGACGUGUGCACUGUCGCAUCUAUGUGAAGUAUUUCCAUGACCCGAGCAUUGACUACAGGACUGUGCUGGAGGAAGCUGGAUCAAGGUACCAAGAUGGGCGCCGUUGACAACACAGAGAGAAGAGAGAACCUAAACAAUGAAACAAGCCCCCUGCCCACGUGCUGUCAGACA